AGCGAACGCUGGCGGCAGGCCUAACACAUGCAAGUCGAACGGAUCCUUCGGGAUUAGUGGCGGACGGGUGAGUAACACGUGGGAACGUGCCCUUUGGUUCGGAACAACUCAGGGAAACUUGAGCUAAUACCGGAUGUGCCCUUCGGGGGAAAGAUUUAUCGCCAUUGGAGCGGCCCGCGUCUGAUUAGCUAGUUGGUGAGGUAACGGCCCACCAAGGCGACGAUCAGUAGCUGGUCUGAGAGGAUGAUCAGCCACACUGGGACUGAGACACGGCCCAGACUCCUACGGAAGGCAGCAGUGGGGAAUCUUGCGCAAUGGGCGAAAGCCUGACGCAGCCAUGCCGCGUGAAUGAUGAAGGUCUUAGGAUUGUAAAAUUCUUUCAGCGGGGACGAUAAUGACGGUACCCGCAAAAGAAGCUCCGGCUAACUUCGUG
rnacentral:rRNA from 1 species